UACGGAGGAUCCGAGCGUUAUCCGGAUUUAUUGGGUUUAAAGGGUGCGUAGGCGGACUAGUAAGUCAGUGGUGAAAUCCUGCAGCUUAACUGUAGAAUUGCGGUUGAUACUGUUAGUCUUGAGUACAUUUGAGGUAGGCGGAAUGUGGUGUGUAGCGGUGAAAUGCAUAGAUAUACCACAGAACACCGAUUGCGAAGGCAGCUUACUAAACUGUAACUGACGCUGAGGCACGAAAGCGUGGGGAUCAAACAGGAUUAGAUA
rnacentral:rRNA from 1 species